rnacentral:rRNA from 1 species
AGUGAACGCUGGCGGUAGGCCUAACACAUGCAAGUCGAACGGCAGCACAGUAAGAGCUUGCUCUUACGGGUGGCGAGUGGCGGACGGGUGAGGAAUACAUCGGAAUCUACUUUUUCGUGGGGGAUAACGUAGGGAAACUUACGCUAAUACCGCAUACGACCUACGGGGGAAAGCAGGGGAUCUUCGGACCUUGCGCGAUUGAAUGAGCCGAUGGCGGAUUAGCUAGUUGGCGGGGUAAAGGCCCACCAAGGCGACGAUCCGUAGCUGGUCUGAGAGGAUGAUCAGGCACACUGGAACUGAGCCGCGGUCCAGACUCCUACGGGCGGCAGCAGUGGGGAAUAUUGGACAAUGGGCGCAAGCCUGAUCCAGCCAUACCGCGUGGGUGAAGAAGGCCUUCGGGUUGUAAAGCCCUUUUGUUGGGAAAGAAAAGCAGCAGGUUAAUACCCCGCUGUUCUGACGGUACCCAAAGAAUAAGCACCGGCUAACUUCGUG